CUCACCACCACAGACCUCGUUAGUACACCUCACCAGAGUCACCACCACAGACCUCGUCAGUACAUCUCACCAGAGUCACCACCACAGACCUCGUCAGUACAUCUCACCAGGGUCACCACCACAGACAAGCAAUAUGUGGAUGCAUGUGUGAGCACCUGGACGGCCCCGCCCCGCCCUGCCCCACUCCGGACACAAAUGGGCUGUGAAUCACCUGGCGAAGCAACCCGAGGGCCCGCCAGUGUUUAUCGAGUCAACAGAACAAUGUCAACCCUCCGCAACACCUCGAACAAAAUCUUUAGGACAGAAUCCAGUGGCCGCCAAGCUCUGUCGUGAAGGAGGAACAUGCAUCUAAGCUAAGGAUGGUGGUGGACAGGAUACUGGCACACCCGUGACCAGUUUUCCUGUUCAAGUGGCUGAGAGGAUUCACAGGAUUUGCUGCUCAGCAGCAGCUGGGUUUGGGUGGAUGAGAGGUGACUGGUAGUGGCUUAGCCCAACAGUGAGGAGAGUCUCGGGGAGCACUCAAGACUGCUUAGCUGAACUAGCAAUUGUAAAAUACCGCAUUCCGUGUUUGCUGCUGGACGUAGAAGACUGACCUGCUGCAACUACCUACCACCUGCUGCCACCUACUACCACCAGGGAACCCCGUCACUCAACCAACAUAGCACCGUCCCCAACACCCUUCCCCCCCCCUCUCUCUCUCUCUCUCUCU